AAACAAAGAACCAGAGUAACAAUAGAAAAUCCAUAUGGAAAUAUUCACAAUCUUCUCAGUGAGAAAUGGGACCCUGCCUUACUGCCAACCUACUGUUUGAGGAGCCAGAAGUUGACAUGAAGUUGCAAGGUCACCUUUUCAAGCUAAAGCACACUUGAUAGCUAUGUGCAUUUUUUUUUUUUUGAGACGGAGUCUCGCCCUGUGGCCCAGGCUAGAGUGCAAUGAUGCGAUCUCCGCUCACUGCAACCCCUGCGUCCCGGGUUCACAUGAUUCUCCCGCCUCAGCUUCCCAAGUAGCUGGGAUUACAGGCGCCCGCCACCACGCCCGGCUAAUUUUUGCAUUUUUAGUAGAGACAGGGUUUCACGAUGUUGGCCAGACUGGUCUCGAACCCCUGACCGCCCGCCUAGGCCUCCCAAAGUGCUGGGAUUACAGGCGUGAGCCACCGCAUCCGGCCUCAGCUACGUGCAUUUUUAUUCAAAGGCUCCAGGAGCAGAGGGAACAGUGAGAACUAAGAACCAAAAUACUGUCACUGACAAGGGUUUGGCUAAAGGGUCUGAGAUGUGUAAGCACCAAGAAGGGAAAGGGAGACUGAGCAACAUAUGAAAAAGGGGCUGUAGGAACAAACACAGAGAAAAUAAGUCAACAAUAACGUACUUCCACCCAGAGCAAAGUGACAGUGCACAUACAUUCAUCCUCUCAAGUGUGGGCUACACUGCACAUUGACUCAUACUGUCUAAACCUGGUUUAUUGGAAAGAUUCAAGUCCCCUGAGGGCAUUCGGCAUAGGACCACAGUGACAUGGUAACAGACAUACGCAAGCGUGCCGUGAGCCUAAAGCAACAACACACUUUAGAUAAUAAUCGCUCAGAAAAAAAUCCUCUCCCAGAGCUGAGGUUACAAAUUCCAAGUUUGCUAUAAACAUUCUUUGGGGAAUUCCUUUAAAGGUAUGAGUUAAAAUACAACAGAAAAUCAACACCUAAAAUCUCCUAAAGAACAAAGUGGAAAAAUAAUGAAUCUCUACCAAGAACCAAUUAUUUUAGGUUUCUUAUUUGGAUGGCUCUCCCACGAGAUAGGUGGCGGGAUUACUUCAAAAGUAAUGAGACUACUACAAGAAGGAGUUAUUUCAUCCAGUGAGGGGAACAGGCUUUCUAGAAAUCACUUUCUCUUCCCUGGACUCCAUCCAAAAUUAGAACCCAUCAACCAUCAUUAACUACAAUGCCCAUAUUAGUUAAUAAUCCUAGAUUUCAAGUACUACUACAUGUAAACUAUUAUCUUAAAGAAAAAAGCUCCAAAGGAAAUCAGUAGCUUUAUUAUAUAGGUAUAUGACUUUUACGAGAAGUUAAAGAGUUUCCAUCUGAAGGACAGAAAUUGUUAAGAGGUAACGUACAGACCUCAGGCACCACAUCAUUUACCCUCCAAUAAUGAACAACAUUUCUCCCUAAAUUCUUAUUGCACCUUAACCUCUCCAGCAUCAAAUCUUCUACUCUAUAACCUCUCUUUAAACACCUCCCUCUAAUCUCAAUUUCCUUCUGUUUUUAUUAUUUGGCAAAAUUACGCUUAAAAAAAUAAAUAUUUCCAUCAUGGCAUAUAUAUACCUAUGUAACAAACCUGCACAUUCGGCACAUGUAUCCUGAAACUUAAAGUUAAAAAAAAAAAAUUAUGUAAUUAAACCAGAGGAUAAAAUAAAUAAAACUCAAGUUAAUUUGCCACGUAGAGCUGUAUGGAAGUGAGGAAGGUGCUCUUACAUAAACACCCUCCGGCUUCCACACUCAUAUGUAUCUGCUUCCUGGUAAGUCUGAGGUUGGGGGAACUGCACCUUACUUUUCCUCUCCUAUAUCCCCUAGUGCGGCAAUAUCAGAACCCAAGGGAGGAAAAGCUGGCAAAGUUGUCAUGUGCCAAGCGGCCAAUCCCUCCUGAAAUGAAGGUAGGUUCACUCGGUCUCUCCUAAGCAGAAGAGGAUGUCCAGGAAAUAAAAUUUAAAAAGCCAUUGAAGAUCCAACAAACCGCAGCCUUGGGGUGCUCAUGGAGUGCGUGGGAUGAGAAAGGAAUUAAGUAGCAGCAUUCAGAAGCGUCCUGGGUUCAUCCUGAUGAGGUCUCUCCCUUGUUGAGGGAGAGGUGGCUUUCCCAUGCCGGGAGGGAGGUGGAAGGAGGCACGACUUAGACAUUGGUGGUGGUCUCCUUAGCAGGCUCGAUGCUGUUCAUCUCCAUGACGCCGUCCUUUCCAGAUCUAUCUGCACCGUGUGCCUGCCCUUCAAAGGCCCGUGUGAUAUCCUCAAAAGUCCUGCCACGGGUCUCAGGGACUUUGAAGAAGGUAAAAGCCAAGAAGGUAAUGAGGAAGCCGGUGAAGAUAAUAAAAACGUAGGCUCCUAAAUAGUGCUAGAGAAAGGACAGAAAAAAGGAAGGUUGAUAUAAAAAUCUGGUCAUUGACAAAGUCAAUUUCCUUCACAUUCAUAUUUCCAAUAGGCUUCAAGCUAUAACCCUUCCAUAUUUAAUGAAAACAGGUUUCUUCAGAUUCGCUUAUGAUUCCAUUGCUAACUUACUGUAGUUCUCUCUAGUUUUCUUUCUGUCAUUCCAUUUCAUUACAGUUAGAUGCUUCCAAAUGUCUACUGAGUAUUUUUGGACUUUUGAGUAUUAUUUUUAAAAUCUGUGUUUCUGGGCCGAGUGCGGUGGCUCACGCCCAUAAUCCCAGCACUUUGGGAGGUCAAGGUGGGAGGAUCACUGGAACCCAGCAGUUUGAGACUAACCUGGGCAACUCCAUCUCUAUUUAUGAAUUUUUUUUUUUUUGAGACGGAAUCUCGCUCUGUCACCCAGGCUGGAGAGCAGAAGGUUGAUCACAGCUCACCAUGAACACCUCCUGGGUUUAAGUGAUUCUCUUGCCUCAGUCUUCUGAGUAGCUAGGACUACAGGUGUGUGCUACCGCAAUGGUGUGAUCUCGCUCACUGGGAUUACAGUCAUGAGCCACGACACCCGGCCUAAUUUUUGUAUUUAUUGUAGAAACAGGGUUUCACCAUGAUAGUCAGGUUGGUCCCCAACUCCUGACCUCAAGUUAUCCACCCGCCUAGGCCUCUCAAAGUGCUGGAAUUACAGGCUUGAGCCACUGUGUCUGGCCGCAAAUUAAACUUUAUGAAUUAUUUAUUUCUGCAAUUUUCCAUUUAAUAUUUUUAGACUACAGGUAACUGAAACUGAAGAAGAGGAGGGACUGCUGUAUUUUUUUAUUUAUUUAGGGAUGGAGUCUUGCUUCCAUCGAGCAGGCUAGAGUGCAGUAACGCGAUCUCAGCUCGCUGCAACCUCCACCUCCCAGGUUUAAGCGAUUCUCCUUCCUCGAUCUCCCAAGUAGCUGGAAUUACAGGCAUGCACCACCAUGCCCAGCUAAUUUUUGAAUUUCACCAUGUUGGCCAGGCUGGUCUUGAACUCCUGACCUCAGGUGAUCCACCCGCCUCAGCCUCCCACAGUGCUAGGAUUACAGGCAUGAGCCACCAUGCCAGGCCCAGACUACUGUAUUAUUAAGGAGUAUCUUCAUGUCAGCUUACAUAGGCUGGUUUUAAGAUAAGGUGAGUUUACUUACAGCAGCGGAGGGGAAGAGCAAUCCGACUAGGAAGUUGGAGGUCCAGUUGGAGCAGCCGGCCACUGCCAUCGCAGCUGGGCGGGGGCCCUGGCUGAAGAGUUCGGCCACAAUAAACCAGGGAAUGGGGCCUGGUCCAAUUUCAAAGAAGGCUACAAAGACCAAGAUAGCCCCAAUACAGACAAAGCUCAUCCCAUUAUAGUUAUCCUGUAAGAGCAAGGAACAGAGAAAAUUAAAUUUAAAGACAGUGUAACCUAGUAUCUAGGUUCCCAGAAGCAAUUAACGGCAAGCUCCUCCUGUCCCUGACGUACAAUACAAAGAGUGGCUGUGGAGUCAAAAGGCUUGGAUUUAUUUUUAUUUUUAUUUUUUGAGACAGGGUCUUACUCUGUUGCCCAUGCUGGAGGGCAGUGGCACUACAAUAGCUCACUGCAUCAUCGAUCUCCUGGGCAUAAGCAAUCCUCCCACCUCAGCCUCUCAAAUCGCUUGGACUUGAAGCAUGUGCCACCACACCUGCCUAAUUAAAAAAAAAUUUUUUUUUUGGCCAGGAGCUGUGGCUCACGCCAAGGCAGGUGGAUUAUCUGAGGUCAAGAGUUGGAGACCAGCCUGGCUAACAUGGUGAAACACAGUCUCUACUAAGAAGUACAAAAAUUAGCUGAGCGUGGUGGCACGUGCCUAUAAUCCCAGCUACCUGGGAGGCUGAGGCAGCAGAAACACUUAAGCCCAGGAGGCAGAGGUUGCAGUGAGCUGAGAUCCUGCCACUGCUCUCCAGCCUGGUGACAGAGUGAAACCCUGUCUCAAAAAAAAAAUUUUUUUUUGUUUUUUUGUAGAGAAAGUUUCUUGCCAUGUUGCGUAGGCUGGUCUUGAACUUCUGGGCUCAAGCAAUCCUCUAACCUUGGCCUUCCAAAGUGUUGUGAUGACAGGCAUGAACCACUGCGCCCAGCCAGGAUUGGAUUUUUUUUUUUUUUUUUGAGAGAGAGUUUCGCUCUUGUCGCUCAGGCUGGAGUGCAAUGGCACCAUCUCAACUUACCACAACCUCUGCCUCCUGGGUUCAAGCAAUUCUCCUGCCUCAGCCUCCCAAGUAGCUGACAUUAGAGGCAUGCACCACCACUCCUGGCUAAUUUUCUAUUUUUAAUAGAGACGGGGUUUCUCCAUGUUGGUCAGGCUGGUCUUGAACUCUCGACAUCAGGUGAUCCGCCUGCCUCACCCUCCCAGUGUGCUGGGAUUACAGGCGUGAGCCACCGCGCCCAGCUGAGGAUUGAAUUUUUCAAUCCCAUCUAUAUGAUCUCAUAUAUGUCACUUUGUACUGAGACCAUGUCAUCAUCUAUUAAGUGUGAUUACCUUGAUAUUAUUCUAAGAAUUAAAUUAGAUAAUUUAUUUUAUAAGCUAUAAUAAUGUUCUAUAAAUGUAAGGAUUCUAACAGUUUACCUCCAGUUCUCUGACGACCCAUGUUUCUUAAACUCUGGGCAUCCUGCUUCUCUCCUCUGACUUUAUUGACAAACUGCAACCUUAACAACCCACCCCUUGUGUCACAGAAGUCAACUGUAACCUCUCUUCUUUCCCCCUCCCUUUUUUUUCACCCAAAGAGCACCUACCUUUAAUAACAAAGAAACAGUCAUGAGCGUGGAACAAAAAGCCAUCCCUCCAAGGCCUAUCAUAUGCAGAGUCCUUCUUCCUGCCCUUUCCACCAGAAAUAGCUGGAAGAAGAAUAUGACAUGAAACUUCAGUUUUCCUUUCCAUGAAAACAGCAUCUGAGCUACUUGAAAUCUGCCUUACCAACAGCAGGACACUUGUUAUGGAUACCCCUCCUGUGAUUUAUGAUUUUAUAUACAUACAUAUUGUGUGCCAUUCACAGGUCCUGGCUCAAAAUCCCCAUAGCCCUUGGUAGAGUCUUUUGUCAUAAUGUUGGGAUGCUUCAGGCCUCAGGAGCAGGCCUCAGAUAACAGAAUUCUUCUCUGACUUUCUCCUGCCCUCCCACUUGGCAGGACGCUAAUCUGACUGUGGGUCAUAAAACCCUCAUUUCAGAGAGGGUCCUGCCCCACACCCUAGAGGAAGAAACGCUACAGAGAGGCCAACAAAUCAUCUAAGCAGACAGGCCCAGCUGGGUUCAGAUCAUUCCCUUUUUGUCCAAUCACAGGUCAGAACAGUUGUCCAUGCUUCAAUCAUGGAGAACCAAUUAAGUCUGCAUAAAAGGCCCAAAAGGCAGGGUAUGGGGAGCUUCCAGAUAUCUGAACCCGUGGAAGCUGACAGGAAGGUCAGCAACAACUCAUCUAUGUGCUAGGAGUGCACCCCAACCCCACAGAGACAGAAGCUCCCAUGCUCAGGAUCCCUCCAGACCUCGCCCCGUGAAUCUCUUCAUCUGGUUGUGUAUUUCUGUGCUUUAAAAUAUCCUUUAAAUCAAACUAGGAAACAAUUUUCCUGAGUUUUGUGAGCCACUGUAGCAAAUUAAUCAAACCCAAAGAGGAUGUCGUGGGAAUCCUGAUCUACAGCUGGUGAGUCAGAAGCACAGGUAAAACAACCUGGAGCUUGUGACUGGCAUCAGGAGUGGGGGGCAGUCUUGGGAACUGGGCCACCAACCUGUGAGAUCUGAUGCUAUCUCCAGGUAGACAGUGUCAUAAUUAAAAAAUCGCAGGACACCUAGAUGGUGUCCACUACGGAACUGAUUGCACACCUCACGGGGAAAAAUUCUCACAUAUUCUGGGGAUCACAGAUAACUUCUGUUGAUUAUUGUUGUUUUAGUGUAAAAACAGUGGAGUAACAGAGCUUGAGAGUUUUUCCAAGCACCUUUCCUCCAAUUCCAAGUUCAAAGCAUACUAUAUAGUCCCUUCUAUACUCCCUCCUUUCCCAUCCAUCCCAUAUUUGCUUGAAGAGUGAAGACUACAUCCAACAUUAAAUUUAUCUCUUUUUCCCAAAGGAAAAUUAAGCAACAAAAAGGUAACUAAAUGAUGGUAGGGUCAUGCAAUCCAUCUUUGAACAUCUGUAGCAAGGAUUCUUUUCUCCCCUCAAAAUUACCAAACCAUCCAACUUACAGAAACUACAGUGAAGAUAGUAUUAACCACACCCGCGCCGAUGGUGGCAUAGAUGGGCUCUUGAACACCUGCAUCCUUGAAGAUUCCUGUUGAGUAAUAGAACACCUAGGAGAAAAGAAAACAUGCAGCUUUGAUGCAAUUCUGCACACCAGUUACACAGAACCCUCAAAAAUAAACUUAAAAGUCCCAGUGGGUAAGAAGUCCUUUUUCUAGGUUUUCGUUCAAUACUAAUAUCCCUUCUGCAAAUGAAUUAUCUUCUGUAUCUUAUCUCCUAGUCUGGAUCUGUCACCCAGGCAGGAGUGCAGUGGCACAAUCUCAGCUCACUGCUACCUCCACCUCCCAGAUUCAAGCGAUUCUCCUGCCUCAGCCUCCUGAGUAGCUGGACUACAGGUGCCUGCAACCACACGCAGCUAAUUUUUGUAGUUUAAGUAGAGAUGGGUUUUCACCUUGUUGGCCAGGCUGGUCUCGUACUCCUGACCUCAAGUGACCUGCUCGCCUUGGCCUCCCAAAGUGCUAGGAUUACAGGCAUGAGCCACCGCACCUGGCCCUCCUUUCUCUCUCUAAAUGUUCUUAAUUCUAGCUACUCAUUUACAUUGUUUCUUCUAAAAAUGCUUAUUCCCACUGUUCCAUUUCCUCUUGCUUAUGUCCACUUCACUAACUUACAUAAAGGUGUAAUUCCUACUAACUGGUUUCUUUUUUAUAAGUUGAGACAGCAACUCACUGUUGCCCAGGCUGGUCCUAAACUCUUGGUCUCAAGUGAUCCUCCUGCCUCUCAGCCUCCCAAGUUGCUGGGAUUAUAGGCAUGUGCCAUCAGGCCCAGCUAAAUGCUUUUUUAAUUGGCUCUUCCCCAAACUCUCAAAACAUUGAUAGGGACAUCGAUGUCUCAAUUUGAUAGUGAACUAAUUGAAUAACCUUAUCCUGCUCAUUGAAUAAGCAGAGGUUGGGCUGUAUUUCCUAGGCCUAGGCCCUUUUGAAGUGUUUUAUGAAAUAAUACCAGCUACUAAUGCAAUUUAAUAUAUAUUAAAUAAAUUAUUAUGUUGUUUGCUAGGCACUGUGCUAAAAUCUAAAGUUGCUAUAACUACCAUAGUUAAGAGAUAUUAAAAUACUGGACUCAGACCUCAAGUUAACAAGGGAACAUUAUCUAGGUUACCGAGGUUCACUUCAGUUUAUUUCACCCAGAGUAUUUGCCUCCAUAGCAAUAUUUAUUAGUCUUUUUUAUGAAUAUGGACCUCUACAUUGGGAUUUACCUUCUCACGAAACAACUCUUUAAAUCCCUAGUACGUAAGAUGUAAACUAUGUAUAUUCAUAUUUUCUAAAAUAAGAUAAUUGUGUUUUGAAACUGAGAUUUGUAGAGUCAUUAUUGAAAAACCUGCUGCUCUAGGGCUAAUUAACACUGUUAAGAAAUCUCAACAUAUUAUAUGAUGGCGUCAAGCUUGUGGGGAAAUAUAUUAGGCUAGUGCAAAAGUAAUUACUUGAGCAGUUUAAACAAGCAAUAAAUAGGUAUGCCAAUUCUUUUCCUUAACAUAAUGUCUACACGUCAAAAACCUAAUGUACAUGUACUCAUCUCAAUAAAAUUUCUCAUAGUAAAAUGACUUUGCUAUCUAGUGUCACCAAGCAAGGUAACCCCUACAUCAUCUCACCUAAAUAGUUUACUCUGCUAGGUAAACAUGAUACAAUGCAACCUCUUACCCAUCUGCCCAUAAGGGAAAUUAGAAAUCAUCAUUUGUGCAAAGUAGGUUGGAAAAGUGAUUUCCAAGCCUGCUGUGCAUCAGAUUUAUUUUUUUACAGACAACUUUCAGGUCUCUUACACAGAGAUUCUCAAAUUCAGCUGACUCAGGAAUCCCAACCCCCAUAAUUCUGAUGCAGCCAGCUUUGGGUGAGAUUAUACCUAGCGCAAAAUCUACUCAUUGACUAAAUUGGGAGCCAGCUUAGUCCAACAAUAAUUAAUGUACAUGCCGGGCGAGGUGGGUCACACCUGUAAGGCCGGCACUUUAGGAGAGAGAGCUGAGGUGGGUGGAUCACCUGAGGUCAGGAGUUUGAGACCAGCCUGGCCAACAUGGUGAUAUCCCUCUAUUCUCUACUAAAAAUACGAAAAAAUAAGCAAGGUAUGGUGGUGGGCACCUGUAAUCUGGGCUGUAAUCCCACCUGUAAUCUCGGGAGUCUGAGGCAGGAGAAUCAUUUGAACCCAGGAGAUGGAGGUUGUGGUGAGCUGAGAUUGCGCCACAGCACUCCAGCCUGGGUGACAGAACAAGACUUCACCUCAAAAAAAGGAUGGGCCAGGCGCAGUGGCUCACGCCUAUAAUCCCAGCAUUUAGGAAGGCCGUGGCAGGCGGAUCAUGAGGUCAAGAGAUCGAGACCAUCCUGGCCAACAUGGUGAAACCUGUUCUCUACUAAAAAUACAAAAAUUAGCCAGGCAUGGUGGCACACGCCUGUAGUCCCAGCUACUCGGGAGGCUGAGGCAGGAGAAUCGCUUGAACCCAGGAGGUGGAGGUUGCAGUGAGCCGAGAUCGUGCCACUGUACUCCAGCCUGGGCGAUCGAGUGAGACUCUGUUUCAAAAAAAAAAAGAAUGUACACACCAUACUCUGAAAUGGCAGGAGUCUGUCCCUCAGACUGCUCACGGAUCACUUGUCAUUUCUCACAGGUGAUCUUUUACUGAUCCUGUUUUGCAGGGCCUGGACUGUGGUGAGGCAGCUAGGGAGUUGCCUCAGGUGCAUUCUUUCAUUCUUUCUUUUUUCUUUUUUUAAACAGGCACAGAACUAACGCAAGGUACAUUCUUUAAAGAGGUGCUCAUUCUCAGGGCUACACUUGCACGUAGCUGCCUCACCUGCCUAGUCCCAGCUCUGCUGCUCUGGAAAGUCUCGGGAGCACAUUUUUCUCCAGUAAUACGUGUGGCCUACAUUAUCAUUUCCAAAUGAAGAAAUUUGAGACUGGGAUUCAUCAAAAUCACCUAGGAGGCUUUUUCUAACUACUGUGUAUUUCCUCCCAAGUUUUUUUUUUAAAGACAGGGUCAUACUAUAUUUCCCAGGCUUGACUCCUGGGCCUAAGUGAUAUUCCCACCUCAGCCUCCCGAGUAGUAGCUGGGACUACAGGCAUGAGCAGCCACCACACUUGGCUCCUCAUAGAUUCUGACAUAACAGCCUCUAACCCCUCAUAAGAAGCACUGCCACUUCAAAUACAAAUAUCCUGGUGUGCUAGGUAGGAGAAAAGUUCCAAGAACCAACUUACUAUUUUGAGCAUCAAAAUGCUCAAAAUAGUAAGUUUUGCAAAAUGCUUUGUUACAAAAUAAUUUAAUCCCAUUGAUCAAAGACUAUCUGAAAACCCUUAGGGGAUGAAUCAGUAUUUAAAAAGGUGGGACAAGGGUGCUCUUAAUAUCCAUAUUGACUAGAAGGCACAGGAAUACUCUCUUCCUACAAUCCACAGUCAAAUGCAGGAAGCUGAUAUUUGCAUGGAAUACAAGGGCUACCUGCCAAAUGCUAGCUUCCGUUGUGCCGCCCUCUUUAAACUAUCAUCUAUCAUGCCCUCUUUAAACUACCAUGCUCGCUAUACUAGUUGUAAAAACAGACUGGUAAAGUCAGUUCACUCUGAAGUUGCCAGUGUCCUUCCAGGGUCUUUUUUUUUUUUCCUUUUUUUAAAUUUCAGAGACACAGUCUCACUCUGUCUCCCAGGCUGGAAUGCAGUGGCAUAAUUAUAGCUCACUGCAACCUGAAACUCCUGAGCUCAAGUGAUCCUCUUACCUCAGCCUCCUGAGUAGCUGGGACUACAGAGGCACACCGCCACCAUGCCCGGCAUUUUAAGUGAAAUACUUUAAGACACGUUUGACCCUAAAGUAUCACACUCACAGCAUUGAUCCCAGAGAGCUGCUGAGAGAGCUGGAGCACAAUGGAAAUGAUGAUGGGCUGUCGGUAGCUGGACACUCUAAAGAGCUCUAGCACGGUGACUUGCUUUUCUUGUGACAUCCUUGCACUCUCAUCUUUCAUCUCCUGGAUGUCUUGGGAUACAUCCUGGGUGCCCCACAACCGCUGGAGGACUGGUGAAAAGAAGAAAGAGGAAAGGAUAAAAGAGAAUGUGCUGCCCCAAAUUCAUUCUUCCUGUAAGGCAGCCAGGAAAGGGCCGCACGAGGUGAGGUGAUGGGUAGCAUCCAUUCCUUUUUUUUUUUUUGAGACAGAGUUUCACUUUUGUUGCCCAGGCUGGAGUGCAAUGGCAUGAUCUCAGCUCCCUGCAACCUCCACUUCCCGGGUUCACACGAUUCUCCUGCCUCAGCCUCCCAAGUAGCUGGGAUUACAGGCAUGCGCCCCCAUGCCCGGCUAAUUUUGUAUUUUUAGUAGAGACAGGGUUUCUCCAUGUUGUUUCAGGCAGGUCUUGAACUCCUGACCUCAGGUGACCCGCCUCGGCCUCUUAUAAUGCUGGAUUACAGGCAUGAGCCAUCACACCCUGCCUGAUAGCAUCCAUUCCUAAACCCGCCUUUUCACCUCAUUCUUUAGGGGCUGAAAAUUUUACUCAGGAGUAAUCAGAACCCUCCUCACUUGGAUUCUGAGAGGCAGGGAAAGAGUGUAACAGAAAGUAGGUCCAGUACAAUCAUCCCUAAAACAAACCACAACCAUAUAAUUCAUGUAGUAAGGUGUGAAGGAUACUCACUCUGCUUAGCAUUCUCCUCUUCUUUUCUGUUAAUGAGCAAAAAUCUGGGACUUUCAGGGCAAAAUGGAAGGGCUGCACUUUGUAGGAUAGCAGGAAGGAUGGUAAAACCCAGUAGCAGCGGCCAUAGCUCUUCAGACCCAAGGAUGAAUUCCAGACCAAAGAUCUAGAAACCACACAAAGAUAAUGCUAUAAACCCCAUACUUCACAGGCCACAAGUUCAUUAAAACACAAAAAGUUCAGAAAAUCAUACAUUCUUUUACCAUGUGAAAAAAUAAACAAAUUGUGUUUCUUUUCCUUUCUCUACUCAGCAUGGUUUUUUUUUUUUUUUUUUUUUUGAGACGGAGUCUUGCUCUGUCACCCAGGCUGGAGAUCAGUGGCACAAUCUCGGCUCACUGCAAACUCUGCCUACCGGGUUCACGCCAUUCUCCCGCCUCAGCCUCCGGAGUAGCUGGGACUACAGGUGCCCGCUACCACGCCCGACCAAUUUUUUGUGUUUUUAGUAGAGAUGGGGUUUCACCAUGUUAGCCAGGCUGGUCUUCAUCUGCUGACCUCGUGAUCUGCCCACCUCGGCCUCCCAAAGUGCUGGGAUUACAGGCGUGAGCCACAGCGCCCGGCCUCAGCCUGCUUCUUCAGCUACUAUCUAUUAUCUAAAACUUCCAUAUGUAAUUGAACAUGUGCCAGAUAUUCUUCAGUGCUUUACCUAUGUUAACUUUUUUAAUGACCCAUGAAACUAACACUCAUUAAGUAUGAGAAGUUCUAGAGUACCUGGGCCACCAGAAUUCCAACAACGAUGCCCAGCUGGUUGAGAGUGCCAAAGGCACCCCGCAGGGCAGUAGGCGAGAUCUCUCCAAUGUACAUGGGCACAAAACCUGUGCAGAGUCCGCAGAAGAGGCCAAUAACCAAGCGACCCAGGAUCAGCAUUUCAACCGACUUAGCUACUUUACACAGUCCCAUAAAGCAGCCACCAGUGACAGCCAACAGGUUGACAAUCAGCAUUGAAUUGCGCCUGUAAGGUUAAUCAAAGACAAAGUAGAAUUAGCAAAGUGAGAGGCUCCUAACUUCUCCUCUGUCCUCAUUAUUCUGUUCUUCUCCAGGCUCAUAUCAUCCCUUUUUUUUUUAAUCUAACUUUUGUUUUUCACUUUCUAUUAUCAGAACAUUUCUAGUUGGGAACCAGGUGUGAUGGUGCCCGCCUGUAGUCCCAGGCACUCAGGGAGCUGAGGUCGGAGGUCGAAGCUGUAGUGAGCUAUGAUUGGGCCAUUACACUCCAGCCCGGGUGACAGAGCAAGACCCUCUUUCUUGGGGGGUAAAAAAACAAAAGAACAACAUAAUCAAGUAAAACAGGUUGCUUUACCGAUUUUUAAAUGUGAAUUCCAAUUGCAUUUCUAGAAUAUCUAAUUGGCAUUUUUUUUUUUUUUUUUUGGAGACGGAGUCUUGGUCUGUCACCCAGGCUGGAGUGCAGUGGCAGGAUCUCGGCUCACUGCAACCUGCGCCUCCCAGGCUCAAGAGAUUCUCCUGCCUCAGCUUCCAAGCAGCUGGGAUUGCAGGCGCAUGCCACCACGCCCGGCUAAUUUUUUGUAUUUUUAGUAGGGACAGGGUUUCACCGUGUUAGCCAGGAUGGUCUCGAUCUCCUGACCUUGUUAUCUGCCCGCCUCAGCCUCCCAAAGUGCUGGGAUUACAGGCGUGAGCCACGGCACCGGCUUUUUUUUUUUUGAGACGGGGUUUUGCUCUUUCGCCCAGGCUGGUGUGAAGUGGCCAGAUCUCAGCUUACUGCACCCUCUGCACCCCCACUGCAGGUUCAAGUGAUUUUCCUGCCUCAGCCUCCGGAGUAGCUGGAAUUAUAGGUGCCUGUCACUACGCCCGGCUAAUUUUUGUAUUUUUGGUAGAGACAGGGUUUUGCCAUGUUGGCCAGGCUGGUCUCGAACUCCUGACCUCAGCUGAUCCACUUGCCUCGGUUUCCCAAAGUGCUAGGAUUACAGGGGUGAGCCACCACACCGUGCCUAAUUGGCAAAUUAAAACAGUUCCUUCAUUAGUCAUAAAUGAAAAUAUAUUCUACCUUCUAAAACAUAUUGUUAAGCUUCUAUAGAAUAAGACUUUUUUUUUGUCAUUAUCCACAUUUGCCAUAGACAAAAAUAAUUCCUACCAAUCCUGGGUAAAAUAAUAAAAACAUUUAUAAUACAAGUAAACAACUUCGGACCUUGUAAAUUAAGUAUGUUUCUAGAAACCCCAUAGUUGAGUUUACUAGGGAAUAAUUCUGAACUAUCCCUAGCUGGACUGCAAAGGCCAAUCACUCACAGUUCAUCUCUUGCACAGCUGGGUGGGAGCUCUCCAGGGUAGUAGAGCUCCAAGCAAGGGCAGUCAUAUUCGGGGCCAGUUGGACUAGGUUUCCCUUGAUUAGAAUUCAAGGUGUUCUUAUUCAAAGGCAUCAUCACCUCCCUGCCCUAACUCUCCACACUUGUCCUCAAUGUGGCUGGUAGAGCCCACUUCCUUGCCCAGUUUCUAGUCAAUACCUGCCAAAGCGGUUGACGAAGAGUCCGACGGAAAAGGAGCCGAUCAUACCCCCGACGGAAAAUAUGGCCACAGACAAGGACCAGAGAGACGUGAGCAGCACCUCAGAGGGUGGGGCAUUUCCCUUGUCCGUCAAAGUUUUAUUGAUAAAUUCCUUUAUGAUCUGCAAAAUAAAAGGGUUGGUGGAAGAACAGACUGUUACAGUUGGAUGAGAACAAAAGACAAACAUUAGGGAUCAUUUCCUUCCUAGAGAAUCAAGGGAAUAAAUAGACAGGAAUGGAAGGGGCAGAUAACGUAUUGGAAUUUAUGUUAACUCUCGCUGGAAUAGUAAUUCUAUUUGUCCUGAAAAUCCCAGUAGGUGGCAGCACCGAUGUUCACAGUCUACCCCAGCCCUCUGCUAAGGGAACCCAGCUUCUUUGUAACUAACCCCUAAGGGAUAAUACAGGAUGUGCAUCACUAUGAGGUGAAAGAGUGGGAGGAAGAACAGCACCGCCCAGCGUUCCGGGAGUAAGUGAGCUUUGUGCUUCGAUUAGAUGACCCCACUAAUUUUCCCCACCAAUAUUGUCUCCAUCUUCAGUCUUGGACAGGAUAGAUACAAAGUUUGUCUUAAAAUCCCCUAGUUUGGGGAGGGACCCUCACUAACUGUGUUGCUCAGGAUGGUGUUUAACUCCUGGACUCAAGUGAUCUUUAAGCCUCAGCCUCAGGAGUAGCUGGGACUCCAGGCAGAUGCCACCAUGCCUGGCCUUAAAUUCUGAAUUCCUGAAACCCUACUUAAAGGAAUAACUUCCCUAUUCUAAAUUCUAAUUAUUGUGGCCUGGCACUCACCUUCUCAGGAGCAUUGAUGACCCCAGUGUUGUAGCCAAAUUGGAAAGAGCCGAUUGUAGCAACUGUGAUGGCAAAUAUCAGAGCUGGGGUGACCUGGAGGGAGGGAAGACAGAGGAGAGAAUAGUCCUUAAAACUUGUGAUUGAUGACUGUUUCUUAUUAAUUAUGGAGCUGUAUUAGGAGAAUUUGAGUUAUGAGUGGUAUGAAAAGAACAUCCAAUGAGAUUUAGGUAAUUAAUGGGGAAGACAAAGGAAUAGAUUAUACUAAAGAACUUAUCUGGAGAUAAGAAUGUGAAGUUAACUUGGUAAAAAUGAAAGAAAAUUGGGGAAGGAAGAAGUUAAGAGAAACUGGGUUGGUCAGUUUGGAAAUAUUUAAAAACUUGCAUCAGGCAAAUGUAGGCAUAGAAUUCCACUCACGAACUGGGAGGGCAGAGAAAAAGACAGUCUCGGGUAGGAUUACUAAGAAUUGACCAUUCUGGAAACAAAUACAGUGCAGUCUGAUCUGUACCCCAGACUCCACGGAAGCCCACUGGUGGUGGUGGAGGGGGUGGUAGUUUGUGUCUUCACUGCUGGGUGGCUCUUUGAGUCUCUUAUCUCUCAGGACCAUGUAACCUACUGGAUCUACUCACUGCAUCCUGGCCCCAUUUCAGUCUUCGUUUAUUAAAUACAGUUCUGCUAUCCCUAACUCCCGCGCAGGGGAAGAAAGUACUUACUCUGAACCCAACAUAUAAGGGCGAACCCAACAUAUAAGAGACAUUUCUUAGUGGGGAGAACCGGUCAUCUUCACCUUGCCUGGAAUAAUUCAGCCGGGCGAGACAUUUUCCAUUUCUACCUUGGGGCAGCUCAAUUUUUAUACCUGAGGCCAACUUCUACGCCAUUCCCCCCCACCCCACCACCCAAAAUCCCUUCAACCUUUCAUAUCUUAAACUCCUUUCCUUUCAGGUCGGGCAGAUUAGGCAGCAGGCUGGGAGCUUCAGCAGGAGAAGUGACCUUGCCUGCAGCCUCCCAGAUGUCUCAGUCCCAGCUAAGCAUCGGUACCCCGGAGGGCCCUGCCAGUGCAAUGCUCUGUUAAAUCUUUUUCCGUUUAGUAAAAAUCUCUUCUGUCUCCUCUCAUCAUUCACUAUCUUUGAGAGCCUUUUCUUCUUUAGUCUCAUAAUUUUCCAUCCCUUUCUUAUUUUCCUACAUUUUCUUUCUUUCUGCUUUGUAGAGAUGGGAUCUCACUAUAUUGCCCAAGGCUAGUCUCAAACUCCAGGCCUCAUGUGAUCCUCCUGCCUUGGUUUCCCAAAUGCUGGGGUUAUAGGUGUGACCCACCACACCUGGCCCCUUAUUUUUAGUUAAAUUUAUCUUGGUAAAAAAUGCCUUUCUUGCUGCGCGCAGUGGCUCAUGCCUGUAAUCUCAGCACCUUGGGAGGCCGAGGCCGGCGGAUCGCCUGAGGUCGGGAGUCGAGACCAGCCUGACCAACAUAGAGAAACCCCGUCUCUACUAAAAAUACAAAAUUAGCCGGGCCCGGUGGUUCAUGCCUGUAAUCUCAGCUACUCAGGAGGCUGAGGCAGGAGAAUCGCUUGAACCCGGGAGGCGGAGGCUGUGGUGAGCUGCGGUCGCUCCAUUGCACUCCAGCCUGGGCAACAAGAGUAAAACUCAAUCAGAAAAAAAAGAAAAGCCUUUCUCCCUGCAAAUAAUGCAUAUACAACACUCAAUAUUUUAGUAUGUCCUGCACUCACGAUUUUAACCCUAAUAGGAAGGACAACUGGAAUUCUUUCUCCUUAGCAUCCACGAACCCCAUAUGUUAUAGGACAAACAGAUGGCCAGACCCUGGCCUGUGCCUCCAAACACAGACCUUUUCAAGGUCUAAUGCUUCCAGAGAAGUCUUCACACUGGCUCUGAGACCCACACUUGUAAUCCAUACAACCAAGCAGCCCGAUCCUCUAAACACUCAACCAUCUCGUCCUCAGUGGCAUAUGGUUACCUAAAAUAAACCUGAGAAGCAAACACAACUUCUCCGGGUGACUUUCCUAUGAUAAGGUGAACAGAACUGUAUGACAUUCAAAGAGAACUGAUGAAGCGGCAGCAGUGCAGGCUAGAGACGAAAUGAAAAGGCCUUAAGAUAGCUUGGUGACUUAGGAGAAAAUAGAACAAGGAGAUUACCAUUAAUAUUUGCCUUUCUGAGUGUAUCCCAAACAAGCAAAAAUAACCAGUAAUUAUAUCAUUCUUACCUUCUGUGUCCCCAUCGCUGUAAUCUAAUUCAAGUCUUCAAGAAAGAUCUAGGGGUGAUUCCAGAAACAGCUUUUUCAGCCAACAAAACCUUCAAAAUGUCCUUCUCAGCAGCAAGUUUUCUCCACGUCCUCAGGAAGGAUCCAAAGUCUUACCAUUACAGCAUCUCUGGGUCUCGCUGGGAUCAUGACUAUUUAUAAUCUCCGCAAAGGGUGGAGCCUGAAAGGGCGAC
rnacentral:lncRNA from 1 species